rnacentral:rRNA from 1 species
GACGAAGGGGGCAAGCGUUGUUCGGAAUUACUGGGCGUAAAGGGCGCGUAGGCGGUUCUUUAAGUCAGGUGUGAAAGCCCUGGGCUCAACCUGGGAGUGGCGCUUGAUACUGGAGGACUAGAGAGUGGGAGAGGUUGGUGGAAUUCCCAGUGUAGAGGUGAAAUGCGCAGAUAUCAGGAGGAACACCGAUGGCGAAGGCAGGUCUCUGGGCAUUAACUGACGCUGAGGAGCGAAAGCAUGGGGAGCGAACAGG